AACGGGUGAGUAACACGUGGGCAACCUGCCCAAAAGAGGGGGAUAACACUUGGAAACAGGUGCUAAUACCGCAUAACCAUAGUUACCGCAUGGUAACUAUGUAAAAGGUGGCUAUGCUACCGCUUUUGAAUGGGCCCGCGGCGCAUCAGCUAGUUGGUGGGGUAAAGGCUUACCAAGGCAAUGAUGCGUAGCCGAACUGAGAGGUUGAUCGGCCACAUUGGGACUGAGACACGGCCCAAACUCCUACGGGAGGCAGCAGUAGGGAAUCUUCCACAAUGGGCGAAAGCCUGAUGGAGCAACGCCGCGUGGGUGAAGAAGGUCUUCGGAUCGUAAAACCCUGUUGUUAGAGAAGAAAGUGCGUGAGAGUAACUGUUCACGUUUCGACGGUAUCUAACCAGAAAGCCACGGCUAACUACGUGCCAGCAGCCGCGGUAAUACGUAGGUGGCAAGCGUUAUCCGGAUUUAUUGGGCGUAAAGGGAACGCAGGCGGUCUUUUAAGUCUGAUGUGAAAGCCUUCGGCUUGACCGGAGUAGUGCAUUGGAAACUGGGAGACUUGAGUGCAGAAGAGGAGAGUGGAACUCCAUGUGUAGCGGUGAAAUGCGUAGAUAUAUGGAAGAACACCAGUGGCGAAAGCGGCUCUCUGGUCUGUAACUGACGCUGAGGUUCGAAAGCGUGGGUAGCAAACAGGAUUAGAUACCCUGGUAGUCCACGCCGUAAACGAUGAAUGCUAAGUGUUGGAGGGUUUCCGCCCUUC
rnacentral:rRNA from 1 species